rnacentral:rRNA from 1 species
GUUUAACAAAAACAUGUCCUUUUGAUUAUAAUAUAAGGUCUAGCCUGCCCAAUGAAUUUUUAAAUGGCCGCGGUAAUUUGACCGUGCAAAGGUAGCAUAAUAAUUAGUUUUUUAAUUGAAAGCUUGUAUGAAAGGUUGGAUGAGAGAAUGACUGUCUCAAAAGAAAUUUUUUAGAAUUUUAUUUUUAAGUAAAAAAGCUUAAAUAUAUAUAAAAGACGAGAAGACCCUAUAGAGUUUUAUAUUUAAAUUUUAUUUUUAAUUUAGUAUUUUUUUAGGAAAUAUUAUUUAUUUAUUUUAUUGGGGUGAUUGAAAAAUUAAAAUAACUUUUUUUUUAUUUUUACAAUGAUUUUUGAUUAUUUGAUCCUUAAAUAAAGAUUAAAAGAUUAAAUUACCUUAGGGAUAAC